CUUUUUUGUAUUUGCAUUUUUGGAAUUCUUUGUUUGCUUGCAUCUGAUUAAGACUUUUAGAUGAAUGAUGGGUGUGUAUAAUUUUUUCAAUCUGAUAAAACUGCAGAUAAUGGUCCAAUUGAUUUUAUUUAAUUUUCAUUCUCAAUCCAAAUAUCUUCUCCUAAACUUCACUACCUCUUUCUUCUCUUUUAAUUUUUCAGAUUUGCUCCUAAUUUCAUUGUUUGCUCGGCCUUCAAUACUUACAAAUGAAUGGCAGAGUCUUUCUCGGUAUGAGAUCAUUCAUUAGGAACUAUGAAAGAUGAACUAGCGAGGAUGGUAUGUUGAGUAUUCAAGUUCUUUUACAGCCUUAGUUCCCCAAAUUUACAGAUUGAAGGAUGAUGCAUAUUAUAAACAGACUCUAAUGAUUCUUUGGGCUUAUAAGUUAUAACCCAGGAAAUGAUCUCCAUGACACGAGGUA